GAUGAACGCUAGCGACAGGCUUAACACAUGCAAGUCGAGGGGCAGCACGGGUAGCAAUACCGGGUGGCGACCGGCGCACGGGUGAGUAACGCGUAUGCAACUUACCUAUCAGAGGGGGAUAACCCGGCGAAAGUCGGACUAAUACCGCAUGAAGCAGGGGUCCCGCAUGGGGAUAUUUGCUAAAGAUUCAUCGCUGAUAGAUAGGCAUGCGUUCCAUUAGGCAGUUGGCGGGGUAACGGCCCACCAAACCGACGAUGGAUAGGGGUUCUGAGAGGAAGGUCCCCCACAUUGGUACUGAGACACGGACCAAACUCCUACGGGAGGCAGCAGUGAGGAAUAUUGAUCAAUGGCCGAGAGGCUGAACCAGCCAAGUCGCGUGAGGGAUGAAGGUUCUAUGGAUCGUAAACCUCUUUUAUAAGGGAAUAAAGUGCGGGACGUGUCCCGUUUUGUAUGUACCUUAUGAAUAAGGAUCGGCUAACUCCGUG
rnacentral:rRNA from 1 species